rnacentral:rRNA from 1 species
AUACGGAGGGUGCAAGCGUUGUUCGGAAUCACUGGGCGUAAAGGGCGCGCAGGCGGUUUGGUAAGUCAGAUGUGAGAGCCCACGGCUCAACCGUGGAAGUGCAUUUGAAACUGCCAGACUUGAGUACCAGAGGGGAAAGUGGAAUUCCCGGUGUAGAGGUGAAAUUCGUAGAUAUCGGGAGGAAUACCGGUGGCGAAGGCGACUUUCUGGCUGGAUACUGACGCUGAGGCGCGAAAGCGUGGGGAGCAAACAGGAUUAGAAACCCCGGUAGUCC